rnacentral:rRNA from 1 species
GACGAACGCUGGCGGCGUGCUUAACACAUGCAAGUCGAACGGAAAGGCCCUGCUUGCAGGGUACUCGAGUGGCGAACGGGUGAGUAACACGUGGGUGCUCUGCCCUGCACUUCGGGAUAAGCCUGGGAAACUGGGUCUAAUACCGGAUAGGGGCCAUUUUUAGUGUGAUGGUUGGAAAGUUUUUUCGGUGUAGGAUGAUGUCGCGGCCUAUCAGCUUGUUGGUGGGGUAAUGGCCUACCAAGGCGGCGACGGGUAGCCGGCCUGAGAGGGUGGACGGCCACAUCGGGACUGAGCUACGGCCCAGACUGCGGAGGGAUGCAGAAGUGGGGAAUACUGCACAAAGGGCGCAAGCCUGAUGCAACGACGCCGCGGGGGGGAAGACGGCCUUCGGGUUGAAAAAGAAGUUCGCGAGGGACGAAGCGUUGUGUGACGGUACCUAGAGAAGAAGCACCGGCUAACCACGUG